GUGAGUACUUUCUCAGUCUUCAUGGUACGGCCUUUUUUAGGCCCUUUUAAGGUUUUCUAAUUUUCCCCAUGGUGAGAUUUUUGUCAAGACAUCAAGUACGAUGGCUCUGAGUCUGACCACAAAUAAGCCUCUGCUCAUGGCCAUGAAGGCACAGAUUUACGACGAGCUCAGCAGAAUUCAGUUUUGGGUAACCUAUAGAUCGGAGAUACAUUGCAGCCUCCUCUGGGCUGAAUCCUGCUGCUAGCGGUGACCAGAAACUCUUCCCUUACUGUAAUGAGUAAUCUGCCCUCACCUAUUAAUAUAUAUUUUAAUUAUAGCUUUGCUUCAUCCAAAUUUUUUUUUCAGUCCUACAGAUCUGAACUAUUGUUGUGCUGAAUGCCUCCCUAGUCCCUACAAUUAUUUUUAUGGUGAAUGAUGUCUGAUGGAUUGAUGAAUAUUGGACCUUAGAUUCAUGAGCUGUGCCAUUUAUAGGUUGCAUUUGUUAAUAGAAGUUGUUUGAGUAUUAUUUUUGGCGAUUAUACUGUCAUUAGAGUGCAUCUAAUUAGUGAUUUGGCUUGUCCCGUUGAUGUGAGUUUGAUUUGGAAUGUGAUAAUGGAACCAUUAUUUCUUCUGUCUCCAAUUUUUUGUUUGGCUUUUGUUAUUUGCACUUAUAUAUACCUUGUGGAGAAGUUACAUAUGUUGCAAUGGCCAAUUAAUCAAAUUUAUAAAGGGCCUAUUGAGAUCUUUGGGUGAGUCUAUUUUUAUCUUACUAUAUAUAAAAAGAGAGAGUUUUUUGUUGUGUAAUAAAACGGUAGAGAAGGGACAAACGAUGGGUUGAAAUCAGUUGUGUUGGGCUGGAGAGAGAGUUUGGGCUUUUUUUUCUUUUUCAUUUUUUUUCCUAUUGUUAUCUAUUGCCAGAUUUUACUCCGGAUUUUUCUCCCAACCACUACUGACACUGAGUAGUGAGUACUGAUAGAGAAACACGUAUAGAAGGAGGUGGUAUUGCAUGUUUCCACAUUGUGUAGAAGAGAGGAAAAGAAGAAAAUGAUUCAACUACAUAUUUCCACUACAAAUUAGGACUUCAGGAUUUUGGGUUGUAAGUUGGGCAUUAGAUCUUUCAUGUUUUCAAUUACUAAGAAAAUGAUUUAUUGAUUGAUGGAUUACAAUAUGUCUCCAUGCUUAGGAAAAUGGGGGAAAGAGAAGAGGGAGAAAGGGAAAGGAAGGUUGCAAGUGAUUAUGAAUUGAAUUUUAGGUACUUUAAUGCGGAUGCAUUUGAAGUGUUUGUGAAAAUGUACAAAUUGGCUUUUGGGUAAGUUUCUGUUAUUUGUUUGUUAGCUUAAAUGAUGAUAUAAGCUCGUUGAAACAUGUGGCAAUAAAACAUGAUGUCAGUUAUCAUGUGAAGUGUUUGUCUUAAGGGUCAGAACCUUAAGGAACUCAACCUGAGUGUGUAAAGAUGGAUGGCCACAUAUUAUUAGUGUAUAAGGAAGUCAACCUGAGUGCAUAUGUACAGCUAUCUUUUAGAUUGCUUUUGUUUCUUUUUCUGAUUUUGUAUCAUGUAUAAUGAUGCUGUUAAUGUUUUCUCCAUAUCUUUAUUUUGUUAGACAGGAAGCAGAAGGACUUCUACAGUUAUACCGAGGGCCCAGCCAAUGCCUUUGUAGUUGUUGUAGAAAAAACUUAUCCAAUGAUCAAGAAGGCUUAACCCUGUGUUUUUGAGAGAUUCUUUGCCCACACAAAAAAAUUAUCCAAUUAUCAAGCUGAUUCUCUUACUUUUAGCUCAUUGAAGCUUAUGUCAUAUUAUUGUACUAUAGUCCUAAUUUUUGCUUUUGUACUUAAUAGGAGCAAAUCCAGCAUGCUGAGGAACAAUUUAACUCUGUGUCACUGUUAUUUUCUCAAGGUUUAGUGAUUAUAAACUAUUUCAUUUGGUAGACUUGACCUACUUAUUCUAGUAAGGAUAUGCCACUUGAUUUU